GUUGUGGCUCAGGGGUAGAGCGCUCACCUAGCAUGAUCAAGGCCCUGGGUUCGAUUCUCAGCACAACA
rnacentral:tRNA from 1 species